rnacentral:rRNA from 1 species
AGUGAACGCUGGCGGUAGGCCUAACACAUGCAAGUCGAACGGCAGCACAGUAAGAGCUCGCUCUUACGGGUGCCGAGUGGCGGAUGGGUGAGGAAAACGUCGGAAUCUAUUUUUUAGAGGGGGACAAAGGCGGGAAUCAUACGCUAUACGCGCUUACGACCUAAGGGUGAAAGCAGAGGGCCUUCGGACAUUGCGCGAUCGAAUGAGCCGAUGUCGGAUUAGCUAGUUGGCGGGGUAAAGGCCCACCAAGGCGACGAUCCGUAGCUGGUCUGAGAGGAUGAUCAGCCACACUGGAACUGAGACACGGCCCAGACUCCUACGGGAGGCAGCAGUGGGGAAUAUUGGACAAUGGGCGCAAGCCUGAUCCAGCCAUACCGCGUGGGUGAAGAAGGCCUUCGGGUUGUAAAGCCCUUUUGUUCGGAAAGAAAAGCAGCAGGUUAAUACCCCGCUGUGCUGACGGUACCCAAAGAAUAAGCACCGGCUAACUUCGUG